UCCAUGGGGUUGCGAUGAGUCAAGCACAACUUUGUGACUAAACAACAAAUUAUUACAGGACUGCCCUGCAUGUGGACCUGGUAGCAUUUUGGAGAAAGCCACCUUGGAGUUCCUGUCUUUCACCUGUCCUAGCUAGCAAUGUAAAAUUGGCUUCCAGGACCUGCCAGCUACGUUUUCCCAUGCCACUUGUGCAACAUGGACCACAGCCACUGGCUGCCCCCACACUAUCUCAAGGCUACCAAGAUGGAGCAUGAGAUCUGCAACAUUUGCACGAAGCAGGCAGUUCACCAUGUUUUCACAUGCCCACCACAAACCACAUUUUCUCCAGUGCUGGAUUCCCCCACCACCAGACACCCCCCGCCCCAAAAGGAGGGGCAUCCUCAAAUAUGAGCGUGUAUCUGCCAAGGGUGGCCAGGCUCGCUCAGCCAAAGAGCCACUUACGUUAAGCAUCGGAUGUUGGCGAGCCGCAAGAGCGUGCCCACAGGUGGGCAGCAGGAGGUGGUAAAUGGCAGGCAGGGGCCUGCCAGUGGCAACGGCAAGCAGCGAGCCACACAUUAAAGUCAAAGAGCUGCACGCGGCUCCCAAGUCUCAGUUUGGCCACCCCUGGUAUCUGCUCAUCUCCCAAGGAAUAGGUCCCUUCCAUCACCUUCCUCUUAUGCAGAAGAAGACCCCUUUUCUCGGUGACCACAGGGGAGCUGCCACCCAGGAGUUGGGGCCAACCAGUCGGUCCCUGCGGGGCCCAUCAUCCAGUUUGUCUGCCUUUCUUUGCUUUUCUAGGCCAGCAAUCUUGGCUUAAAGGCCCGAGUGUGUUCCCCAGGAGCCUGGGGCUCAUUGCUCUGAGCGCACACCCAUGACUUCUGUCCAGGGGGCAGAUGGUGACACUCAGCACAAUGCACCGGGCAGCCCCCACAGCCCUGCUUGUUGCCCAGGCAGCGGACAGUGAAAUCCUCGGAGGCAGCAACGUAUUGCACGCUGGACCCAGAUUGCUUGAGUGUGUGUGUGGGCCUUGGCAAAAUGGAACUAGCUGGGUUCAGCUGACAUGCUUGAUUUGUCUCAUCUUCUGCCUAGGUACUCGCAUACAGCACAUGUGCAUCAUGGGAAGUUGCUGCUGGUGGGCGGAGUCUGGCUCCACGCCCCUUCUGUGCCUGGUGUUGCUGUGAUAGAUCUAGCCACAGGCCUCGCCGUGGAGUAUCGCAUUGACACGGCCUCCCUCUCCGGGCCUCUGAUGUUGCACAACCACAGCAGCAUCUUCUUGCCAGAGGAUGAGGAGCUGCUUCUCAUAGGUGGGGGUGGUAACUGCUUCUCCUUUGGAAGCCACUGGAACUGGCCUCCCGUCCGCCUGGCCCUGGGUGGCAUCUGGAACAGACCGUGAGGCCUUGUGGGCCAAGGGGCCUUUGCUGCACGGAGGCAUCGGGGGAGCGGGCACUGAAUGGCUGGAGGAGGAGGAGGAGGCCCCUGCUGCUGCUGGCUGUUGUGCCUGUGCGGUGAAGCAUGUUCCUUUUGCAGAUGCUCUGGAGAAGAAGCCAAUGCUCUGGCAGCCAGAAGGGGUUGAUUAGCUUUCUUUGCCCAGAAUGCCUGUGGGUGGCAGACGUGGACUCGGGGGCUCAGGCAAGUGGGACAGGUGGCCUCAGGCAAAAGAACAGCAGAUCCCUUGGGGCUUCCUUGCCAAAUCUUUUCCAAGCCUGAGCUAGAGCAAGCAGGUUGAAGGUGAGGGAGCCGAGGCAGAACAGGGCAGCCGCCGUGGCCUUUAGCAGUGGUCCUGCAACUCCUCCCAGGAGGGGCAGGACAUCUGGCAGAGAGAGACCUUGCACCACUAGGUUUAGAGGUGGAGAGGUCUCUUCUUUCCUACCAUAAGUAUGUCAGUAGAACCUUGAGGCUGGAUUGGGCCCAGGGGCCAUGUAGUCUAGCAUUUUGUUCACACCAUGGCUAACCAGUUGCCUGUGGGAAGCCCACAAGGAUGGCCAUCAGGACCAGUAGCGUGCUUGAAUUGGCUUAAUCCCCUUAAAAAACCACCCACAUUGCUGGCCACGAGAACCUGUGGCAGCAGAUUCCAGAAUUUUACUACAGCCCAGCAUGCCCUCCUUCUGUCCACAUACCUUGCUUCUCCCCUUCAGCUGGUGGUGCUUCUUGUAAGCAGCCAGCCACGUUCCGAGGAUGCUGGCACGGGGGCUUGUGCAAGUCUCGCACUCCCACCCACGUGCCUCUGUUUCAUCUUGUUCCUCGUUCAAAUUAUUUGUUUGCAAUGGAUGAUCAAACGCAGGAAACUCGUGGGCUCAGGGAAAGCCUUCUGUGUGGUGCAGGAGAGCCUUAUGAAGGACUUCUGAAGGCAGUGUCUUGCUGGUGACACUUUGUGUGCACACCCAUUGUCUGGCAGAGGCCCCCUUCUGGUUGACACCAGAGAGCUUCUACCCUUCAGCGUUGCGCAGACGGCUCUGUUGCUCUUUUUAUCAGCAUCUUGGACAGGUUUGGAAAGAGGCCUGCGGUGCUGUCAUCAUUCACAGCCCUUUCUAGGCAGUGCAGCAUCAUGUGCUGCUGCUUUUUUUUUUUAUGCUCACAAUGUAUGUUUGGACUGCCAGGGAAACGUGCUAUUGAGUUGUCAUGUAUUACAAAUAUCUACAGGCAGUGCAAUAGACCAAACUAAAACUGACUUUGUUUGAAAGUUGUAGUCUGCUUUAUUUGAAUUCCUUUAAAUAAAUUGUACUUUAUUGAA